UGGGCUACGGUAUGCAGCCCCAGAUGGACCCCAACGGGCAGGCCAACACCGAGGGUGAGCCGAGGAAGCAAGACAUUGGGGAGAUUCUGCAACAGAUCAUGACUAUCACCGAACAGAGCUUAGACGAGGCUCAAGCCAGUACCGAAUUUUCCAGGAAGCAUACGCUGAACUGUCAUCGAAUGAAAAACGCCCUCUUCUCCGUACUUAUGGAAAUUAAG